AUCGAGGCGGGGCCUUCGUAUACCCUUUCCCGGGAUGCAACGCACCGGCGGACGGCUCAGUAACACGUGCACAACCUGCCCUCGGGUGGGGGAUAACCCCGGGAAACUGGGGCUAAUCCCCCAUAGGUGAUGGGUGCUGGAAUGCCCCAUCACCGAAAGCGCUCAGCGCCCGAGGAUGGGUCUGCGGCGGAUUAGGUAGUUGGCGGGGUAACGGCCCGCCAAGCCGAAGAUCCGUACGGGCCAUGAGAGUGGGAGCCCGGAGAUGGACCCUGAGACACGGGUCCAGGCCUUACUGGGCGCAGCAGGCGCGAAACCUCCGCAAUGCGGGAAACCGCGACGGGGGUAGCCGGAGUGCCGAUGCCUCGCAUCCCCUGUCGGGGAGCCUAAAAAGCUCCCCACAGCAAGGGCCGGGCAAGGCCGGUGGCAGCCGCCGCGGUAAUACCGGCGGCCCGAGUGGCGGCUACUAUUAUUGGGCCUAAAGCGUCCGUACCCGGUCUGGAAAGUCCCCCGGGAAAUCUGGCGGCUUAUCCGUCAGGCUGCCGGGGGAUACUGCCACACUAUGGACCGGGAGAGGCCGGGGGUAUUCCCGGGGUAGGGGUGAAAUCCUGUAAUCCCGGGAGGACCCCCUGUGGCCAAGGCGCCCGGCUGGAACGGGUCCGACGGUGAGGGACGAAGGCCUGUGGAGCGAAACCGGAUUAGAUACCUGGGUACUCCAGGCUGUAACCCAUGCGGGCUAGGUGUCUUGACAGCCACGAGCUGCCGCGGUGCCGGAGGGAAGCCGCUAAUCCCCUCCGCCUGCGAAGUACUGCCGCCAGGCUGAAACUUCUAGGGAAUUGCUGGGGGGAGCUCUACGAUCGGGUCGGA
rnacentral:rRNA from 1 species